ensembl:lncRNA
UGGCAAAAUAUAGAAACACUUUGAAAAAUGCUGGCGUUCGAAAAUAUCAGACAUUCUUUCUGGAAGGAAGAUAGAGUGACACGAAGAGAAGCUGCUUCCUAAUCAGGUGCCGCCUGUACGCAAGCAGAGUAAUCUAAUUUGCAAAUCACCAGGUGAUCUGGAAAUAAAUGAUGGAUCGCUUUGCGGACGGGCGAGGGGAGAGGACGACUCGUUAGUGCUGAUGCUAAGCGAGGAGUAACGCUGCCUGAGAGCACUCUGCCGCGGUUGCUUUCUUACUUAACUCUCUGCCUUCACUGAGGACCGCUCCGCUCGUGGGGGGGGGGGGGGGGGGGGGGG